UACGGAGGGUGCAAGCGUUAAUCGGAAUUACUGGGCGUAAAGCGUGCGCAGGCGGUUUGUUAAGUCUGCUGUGAAAUCCCCGAGCUCAACUUGGGAAUUGCAGUGGAUACUGGCAAGCUAGAGUAUGGUAGAGGAAGGUGGAAUUCCCGGUGUAGCGGUGAAAUGCGUAGAGAUCGGGAGGAACAUCAGUGGCGAAGGCGACUUUCUGGCCUAUAACUGACGCUGAGGCACGAAAGCGUGGGGAUCAAACAGG
rnacentral:rRNA from 1 species